rnacentral:misc_RNA from 1 species
GGUUGGAUCAUUAAAAAGGGAUUUCCUUGGCUUCCUCCUAGGAGUUCUUUCUGGGUGGUUAAGACUUGGAGUUCUGAUCCACAUUUCUUGUGCACCUGUGAGAAAGCCAGAUCUGGCUUUAGCCAUUCAGGUGGGUCAAUCUUCCUUCGGGAGGGUUGGGUGGUCUGAAUGUGCCUUUGGAUCUUGGAUAGUUUGCGGAUUGAGUUGCCCUGGUGCCUCUCUCUCCCGCCGCCUUGGGCUGGGUUCUUGAAACAUAGAAUUACGGCUUGGGGAUGCCUUUUCCAGGUUUCGUCCUGUGGUAGGGCUAUCCGGACAACUAUAACUUUCCUGACUAUUAUUUUGUUUAUUUCCUUUUGAUGCGAAAGCAUUGAAAACAAAUACAACUUCAGACAACGGAUCUCUAGGCUCUGGUAUCGAUGAAGAACGCAGCGAAAUGCGAUACGUAAUGUGAAUUGCAGAAUACGUGAAUCAUCGAAUCUUUGAACGCACAUUGCACCUUCUGGUAUCCCGGAAGGUAUACCUGUUUUAGUAUCAAUAACACUCUCUCACGAACACUUUUUUUUUCGGAAAAGAGUGUGAGUGGGGACUUGAGGCUUCUACUUUUUUAGUGGGUAGUGCCUUUAAAAUCAAUUAGUGGUUCACUUGACUCUAAUUGGGGACUAGCGCAAACCUUGGUUUGGUUUCUGUACCAUGCAUUUUGUGUGUUAGUAUUUGAGCUCCCUGGGUCUUUGAUUAUAUUGGACUCUGUCCUUUAGUCAAACCGAACAGUUCUCUUACAGUGCAACACCAAAAUGCAUCAGAAAUUGCUUUUCUUCCAAGAGACUUUGAAUCUCCUAGUAAACCAAACCUAGCGUGCCUUUUAUUUUGAAGGGCAGGUGUAGGAUGCUUGGGGUAAUGCCCAAUCAAACUUGGUCUCAAAUCAGGUAGGACGACCCGCUGAACUUAAGCAUAUUAAUAAGCGGAGGAAAAGAAACUAACAAGGAUUCCCCUAGUAACGGCGAGUGAAGCGGGAAAAGCUCAAAUUUGAAAUCUCCCUGGUUCCCAGGGCGAAUUGUAGUUGAUAGAAACGUUUUCGGAGGUAUGCUGGUCAUAAGUCGCCUGGAAAGGUGCAUCAUAGAGGGUGAGAAUCCCGUCUGUGGUCCGGCAAUACUUCUAUGUGAUACGUUUUCUAAGAGUCGGGUUGUUUGGGAUUGCAGCCCUAAAUGGGUGGUAAAUACCAUCUAAAGCUAAAUACUGACCAGAGACCGAUAGCGAACAAGUACCGUGAGGGAAAGAUGAAAAGAACUUUGAAAAGAGAGUUAAACAGUACGUGAAAUUGUCUGAAGGGAAACGCUUGCGACCAGUCGUGCGUCUUGGAUUCAGCCUUCCGCAAGGGGGGUGCAAUUCGCUGGAUGCCCGUCAGCGUCAGUUUGAUCUUGAGUAAAAAGACUUGGGAAGGUAGCCUUCGGGUGUUAUAGCCCUUGUUUAUGCUCUUGACUGGACUGAGGUGCCGCGGUGUGGUUCUGGGUAGUCUGGUUCGCGCAACCCGCUGGUAAACUGCUUGCAGAUUGCCAGUUGUGGACGUGUGAUCCCAGCCUAUUCCACACACUUAGGAUGCUGACGAAAUGGUCCCAAACGACCCGUCUUGAAACACGGACCAAGGAGUCUAACAUGUAUGCGAGUAUAUGGGUGUCAAACCCAUGUGCGCAAUGAAAGUGAAACUGGUGUGAUCCCGCAAGGGUGCAACAUCGACCGGUCUGGAUUUUUUUGAUAGAUCUGAGUAAGAGCAUACCUGUUAGGACCCGAAAGAUGGUGAACUAUGCCUGAAUAGGGUGAAGCCAGAGGAAACUCUGGUGGAAGCUCGUAGCGAUUCUGACGUGCAAAUCGAUCGUCAAAUUUGGGUAUAGGGGCGAAAGACUAAUCGAACCAUCUAGUAGCUGGUUCCCUC